rnacentral:rRNA from 1 species
GAUGAACGCUGGCGGCGUGCCUAAUACAUGCAAGUCGAGCGAACAGACGAGGAGCUUGCUCCUCUGACGUUAGCGGCGGACGGGUGAGUAACACGUGGAUAACCUACCUAUAAGACUGGGAUAACUUCGGGAAACCGGAGCUAAUACCGGAUAAUAUAUUGAACCGCAUGGUUCAAUAGUGAAAGACGGUUUUGCUGUCACUUAUAGAUGGAUCCGCGCCGCAUUAGCUAGUUGGUAAGGUAACGGCUUACCAAGGCAACGAUGCGUAGCCGACCUGAGAGGGUGAUCGCCCACACUAGAACUGAGACACGGUCAAGACUCCUACGGGAGGCAGCAGUAGGGAAUCUUCCGCAAUGGGCGAAAGCCUGACGGAGCAACGCCGCGUGAGAGAUGAAGGUCUUCGGAUCGUAAAACUCUGUUAUUAGGGAAGAACAAAUGUGUAAGUAACUAUGCACGUCUUGACGGUACCUAAUCAGAAAGCCACGGCUAACUACGUG